GUCUGACUUCUUAGCUGAUAGAGAGAGAAUAGUCAUCCUUCUGUACAGGAGAGGAUCUGGCUUACCUCGGCCUCACAUUUACCCCAAGAAGGUAAAGAGCCCAAUACACUCCAUCUGUAAGAAGUCUGUCCAUGGUGAAGUUUCAACUCCAGAACCUUUUGGACAGUCAAGCUCAAUUCAUUUCCCCAGGAAACUCAACUAUUUAGACAGGGCAGAGAGUGAAGAAUGCAGUUAAAAUCCAUUUUCCAACAGGUUGGAAGAAUUUCACUGGGGAUCCUUUAUGGUAGGAGGGAAGAAGAGGAAGAAAUUCUCCUUGGUAUCAAUUUAUUCCUGUUAUCUUAUGUGGCUCUGUGGGAAGGGUGCUAUUGGAAGAUAUUGAAGACACCAAAAUCCGGAAGUCCCCAACUUUUACUGAAAAGCCAGUAAAGUAUAGGUUGCAUUUGAACUCGAUUAAGUUCCUGUACUGAUGUCUCAUCUUGGCAAAGGUGACCUUGUACUCUCCAAGUCAAUGCCAGAGGGAUCACCAUCUUGUCAGCUUCUCCCAAGCCAUAAAGGCCUUGAGUCUGGGUCUAGCAAUGAAUUCGGUGUUCUUCAGCCUAGACAAGUUCACCCCAGAGGCUGAACCACUUGGUAAUGAUUAUUUUGGCCAAAGAUACUCACCAGCUGAUUACUAAGCAGGGAGGGAGAAACAGUGUGGGAUAAUAGAGCAGUGGACUGAGAUUCAGUAAGAC
rnacentral:lncRNA from 1 species